rnacentral:rRNA from 1 species
GACGAACGCUGGCGGCGGGCUUAACACAUGCAAGUCGAACGGAAAGGCCCUGCGGUUGUGGGGUGCCCGAGGGGCGGACGGGGGAGGAACACGUGAGUAACCUGCUCUACACUUUGGGAGAACUUCAGGAAAGUGGGGCUAAGAUCGGAUAGGAUCUGCUGUUGCAGGGUGGGGGGUGGAAAGUUUCGGCGGGUGGGGAUGGACUCGCGGCUGAUCGGCUUGUUGGUUGGGUAGUGGCUUACCAACGCUUUGACGGGUAGGCCACCGGGGAGGGUGACCGGCGACCUUGGGCCUGCGGGACGGCCCAGUCUCCUACGGGGGGCAGCAGUGGGGAAUCUUACACAAUGGGCCCGCGCCUGAUGCAACGACGCCGCGUGCGGAAUGCCCGCCUUCGGGUUGUGAACCGCUUUCGCCUAUUACGACGCGUGAGUGACGGUACUGAGUAAAGAAGCACCGGCUAACUACGUG